UACGAAGGGGGCAAGCGUUGCUCGGAAUUACUGGGCGUAAAGGGCGCGUAGGCGGUUAGGUUAGUCCGAGGUGAAAGCCCAGGGCUCAACCUUGGAAUUGCCUUUGAUACUGGCUGUCUUGAGUACGGAAGAGGUGAGUGGAACUCCGAGUGUAGAGGUGAAAUUCGUAGAUAUUCGGAAGAACACCAGUGGCGAAGGCGACUCGCUGGCACGUUACUGACGCUGAGGCGCGAAAGCGUGGGGAGCAAACAGG
rnacentral:rRNA from 1 species